GUGUGUGUUUUUGCAAUACGCGUGCAAACCUGUUAUACAUACAUAGAUUGUAAUGAAAAUAUGUGAAGGCUGUGAAGAAGAGUGUGAUAUGAUGAGGACGAGCAAAUGGCCUUCGUGACAGAGCGAGUGGUAUGAGUCAUGAGCAACUGCUGUCAAUCAACGCUCACCUGAAGCCUUUGGUCCGGAAUUCACACUCGUUUUCCUGCUCCUCGAAACGUUAAUGGCAACGAUGAGGAGGAACGGAACACUUGACAAACAGCAUGAGCAACCACAUCAAAACAGAAAAUAUUAAAUCGAUGGGCAAUGAAAUCGAUACCUACCUACCAACCUGCAUCAUCAAUCAAUCCGAUCGAUAAUCGUGUACUUGAUUUUCGUUUUAAUCACUGAGUGAGUCUUCACGUCUGUCCGUCUUCUACAUCCACAAUGGCAGCCAGUUGCACACCAGCCGAUCCUACACAGUUGGCCGAAACAGCAAACUAGCAGCGGCAGCAGCAGCAGCAAACACCACCGAGUCUCCCUUACCCAAAAUGCCAGAUGCAGCUGACAGAUAAAUGGGGACAAGGCGGAAUUGCGCGCGGCAGCAGCAGCUUGAGCUCAACAGCAAACACGUGUGUGUGCCUUAUGCUUCCGGGUCGGUUACCACCAUCACAACAAUCACUACCUACUAUACAUAAAGCGGUUAGCAGUUGCUGACGGCACCUACUACCACCACCAAUCCACACAGAUAUCUCUGCAUACACGCGGUAUUCGUAUAUCAGCUGCGAACGCAAAACAAUUACUUUUUAAAACAGAUUUACAGCAAAAGGAAAUCAUAGAAUGGAAUCUCUUCGUCUUCGUCGUGUCGUCGUCGUCAUUAUCUGCAGCUGCAGCAACUUCUCAGCAUCGUCGUAUUCUACUUAUCACUUCACUUCUUCACUUGAAUUUGGUGGCACGUAAGCCGUAUCGAUUUUUUCUUCUUGAUUAACUCUUGAAUUGCAGUUAAGAUAUACUAUGAAAUUCAAUGAACUCUCAUAUCCACACACUCCAUGAAGAGUGAGGGGCUGCACACUUAUCUACAGAUUGAUAGAGGAAUCGGCGGAGUUGGCGAACUAUCGUAUCGUAAUAUAGGAAGAAGUUUGAUAUUUGUUUGUCACUAUCGCUAUGUUUAGCAUAAAUACGUGGCCUUCAAUCUUUUUGUAGCGAUGCAUCACAGUUGAACAGUGCCUGUGAGCGUCUGGUUUCAUCAAUGGAAAGUCGCAUCCAUUCCUAGUCUGGUCUGACAGUAUAAGAUCAUGCAGCUUUAAGCGCCCGCCCUGUGGACACCUCUAAAACUUAGGACACAAAACAUUUCUUGUUUUUACAAAUAUUUUUUAGCGACGUGACGCAGUUGAACGGUGCCUGCGUGCGUCUGCAAGGAUAUGACCAUGAAUGAGCAAGCAAUACACAGACCAUCCAAUAUGUCCAAGCCAUCUUUUCUGUCAAAUCAAGUUGCACGUUUAGAAGUACGCCAGGAUUGCAAGUCGAGAUAAAGAGCUGGCCAAAAACGCGUAACGUGUUUCUUAUUACCUAACAAGAAAAAAUGUUGCGUUUGUUUCUCUUUUAGCAUGUUGGGCCAAUGGUCUGUUCGUUAAGAGCUGAAACCGAGAAACUAAUUUAUGAACGUUGAUGGAUGAUCAUAAUCAUAUUCAUAAUCCUGGAUAGCGUAAUUUUUACUAUUUCUACUCUUAAUUUGGCUCUUGUAGCCAGCCCAACUGUUUCGUAAACGUGUUUAUAUGAUUUCCAGCCAGGCGGCAAACUGAAAAUCUAAACGACAGUGAGGUGGACUUAUUGUCUUGGACAAUGGUCGGAGGAAUGAACCUAUAUCAAUAUAGCAGAAAGACGAAAGAAUCAAGCGUAAAUUUUGAGAUUAUGCCAAACAAAAAACAUUUCUUUUUGUAUUUUAUAGCAAUAUGACGCAGUUGAACGGUGCCUGCGCAUAUUGGAAGUUGUUAAUCCCAACAAAUAGGGUAAUACUUCUUGUAGUUGAAGCGAGGGAACGUCAUCUAAAGGAUUUUCAUGUAAAUUAUGCGAUUUCCUUUGUGCAAAAUUCUUCCUUUUUGUAUCUUGUAGCUAAGAACCGCAGUUGAAUGUGCCUGCGCAUAUCUGUCGGUAGCUUUCCAAGUGAUAGAGGAUAAAGAUGCCAUGUGUCGGCGAGGAAGUGAAGACUUUGUUCUUUACCUGGGGUCAUCCCCUUAAGACAUCAGCAACUAUAAAGGAUUUGUCACAGAAGUUUACUUUCUCUCUACUUUUACCUACAUCUUUCUCUCUAAGCAUGUCAUGUAUUAAUUACAGUGGCGUUUCUUGGUUGCUACCCUCCUGGAAAAAUUGCAAAGAAACCCGAAUACCUAUAGCAAAAUUCCUUGAGGCAAUGAGAAUGAAAAGCCAACUUGCAAGCAAUAUACACCUCGAGAGUUGACCAACAUCAUUCCGGUCGAUAGAUAACCCUGUGAACUGUGAAGGUCAGCCCGACACUGAAUACACCUUGAAUUGCUUAAAUAUGUUUUACAGCCUAAGAGAAAAGACGAUCUUCAAGUACUUGCAAGCUAAUACGUCCAUAAAAGCCAUCAUCACAUAUUACCAUCUCUAGAUCGAGGAUAGGCCUUCCUGCUUUAGUCACUUGGAACUCAAUUGACGACGUGAGAAAUUUGCUCGCUUACCAUUUUUGCUUUGCACUUUCACUUUUGCAGCGAUUUGUGAGGCAGUUGAAUGUGCUUAAUACUACUACAAAUUCCAUUUUGGGAACGCUCCGGAGGUACAAUAUGUACACACGAAUUCUAUUUAUUUUCCAACUCUACUAGCUCUCACACAACAAAAUCGUUAAAGGGAAUCAAAAACGAUACAUCAAGUUCAUCCAGCUAGGUACAGUCUUCAAACAAUGCCAGCACCACAACAACAAAAUGUAUAACAACUGCUCCCAGCUGCCUUUUGAUGGCCAAUGCGAGUCGAGAGUCGAGUCCAGCCAAAUAGCCUGCUGAAUCACAGAUACAGAUACAGAUCCAAGUAGAUCGUUUUGUACCUCGUACAAUUUAACGUUUUUACAUUACAGAAACGUAAGCUGCACGAUAUUGGGCAACGACGAUAGUCGUCUACUGGCUAAUGGCUAGUUGGUAGUUGAUGCACUCCAGCUCCUACGCACUAACGACCCGACCACUUGAACACAAGGAGCAGCCUCUGUUCCCCUAUUGAGGAGGCAUCACAGUCUAGCUCGGCCAAGACGAGGCUGGGUCAGCCUCAGUCCAGCACGUAAUGCAUUGCACCGCAUAGAAAUAUGCGCUCGGUCCGCGCUAAAGGGAAACAAAUGCGUUUGGACCGAGACCCGCCACACCACACAAUCACCAGCACUCGCUUAAGAGGCGAGCUGAUGUGUUGUCGUUGUUAUCGGGCAGCUGCCUGCAAGUACGCUACCGGCACUCAAGCAUCGUCGUCGUCGUCUUCAUGGUCGCCGUCGCCUCGUUCUCGCUUUCAGCAUUUUGUGCGCCCUGCAAGCCAAGUGUAUGUAUAUUGGUAGUAUAUAGUAGCAGCUAUGAAGCCUUAACGAUCCAACCUGAGGAAUUCGUGCUCGUGGCUUAUCGCAAAAGGGAAUCAAAUGCGACUAGUAUUCCAAGCAUCAGAUCAAAUCCUGUGCAGCAGCAGUCGCGACAGAUGGCAGCGAUCAAGAGAUCGAAGAACCGGCCAGACGGCGGUGGUGGUAUUCAACUGGUUCUAUAAUCUGUUGUGUAACUUAUCCGCUCACUCCCAUUUGUUAGGUCGCACAUAUUUUUAACAGAAUGUAACCCCCCCGGUAAUCAAUCAAAUCCAUCGCAAAGGGAAUCAAAUGCGAUUAGUGUUCGAUGACGAAGAAGCUAGCUAGUUGAACCAGCUCUACGCUACGCUUCGAUUUGCCAGUUGAGCGCUUAACUCCUGGUGCACCGUUCAGCAUUCCGCAAAUGGGAAACAAUUGCGAGGUGGUACUGCAGCAACGCACACACACACAGACACACUCACGCACACAUGCGGGAUUGCCUGCAUUGUGGCGGCCCAAAAAC
rnacentral:sRNA from 1 species